GGUCUGAGUGCAGUUGGUGUUUACAACUACUUAAUCACAACCAGUUAUGGAUUUCUUUAUUCCAUCUUCACUCCCACUGCUCCACUUGACUAGCCUUAAAAAAAAUGAAGAAAAGAAUGAAGUUACUAGAAAUUAAAAUAGUUUAUUAAGGUGGUGAAAAAACAGAAGAUUAUUUCCUCUCUUAAUUUUUCAAAUUUUUAAUAAUGUAAGGUCACAUUUUAUUUAAAUAUUUUAACAUGUUAGAUACUUAAAUAUGUUUUAUUUAUUUUCAUUAUUUAAAUAUACUAUUUUUAUUUUAUUUAUUUAUUUAUUUAUUUAUUUAUUUACAUAUAGAGACAGGGUCUCAGUAUGUUACCCAGGCUGGUUUUGAACUCCUGGAUUCAAGAGAUCCUCCCACCUUGGCCUCCCAAAAUGCUGGUAUUACAAGCAUAAGCCACUGAACCCAGCCUAAAUAUAUUAUUGUUAUUAUUUUGAGAUAGGGUCUUGCUCUGUCACCCAGGCUAGCAUGCAGUGGCAUGAACUCUAUAGUGGCUUACUGUAGCCUUGACCUCCUGGGCUCAACUGAUCCUCCUGCCUCAGGCUCCCAAGUAGCUGGGACCACAGGCAUAUGCCACCAUGCUUGCCUAAUUUUUUUUUUUUUUUUUUUGUAGAGAUGGAAUCUCACCGUGUUUCCCAGGCUGCUUUCGAACACCUGGGCUCAAGUGAUCUUCCCACCUUGGCCUCCUAAAGUGCUGGGACUAUAGGCGUGAGCCACUGCACUCAGCCUAAAUAUAUUAUUUUUAAAUGCGAUAAAGAUUGUACCUUAUGGAAGACUGAUAAUUUUUCAUACCUUUAUGUGGAUGAAGGUUGUCUGGGUAUAUACAUAGUAAAACACACACACACACACACACACACACACACACACACACAUAUAUAUAUAUAUACACACACACAUACAUAGGUUUUUGUUCAUGGUUCCUGGCUCAUAACUCCUAUGGCUCUUGUUAUAAUGUUGGGGCACUUUAAACCUCAGAAUCAGGCCUCAGAAAACAGAAUCUCUCUGACAUUUUCCUGCCCUCCUUUCACCUGCUCCUUUUUCUCUCCAAGGCAGGAAUCUUCUCUUUUUUUGUCUUGGAGCUGGCCAUAAAGAAAUUUUCUGACCCACCUUGUCUGAUUAUAGGUCAUAACUUAUUUCAGAAGGGGCUCUGCCCCCUACCCUGGAGGAAGGAAUGUUGCACAGAGAGGCCAAGAGAAAUGUGAGCAGACAGGCCUUGCUGGGUUCCCCCGUUCAGUCUGUUGGUAUUAGAUCAUACUUUUUUUGUCUAAUCACAUUUCUACAUGGUUGUCAAUCAUGCCUAUCUAAUGAAAUCUCCAUCAAAGGCCCAAGAGUACAGGAUUCAGAGAGCUUCCAGAUAGCUGGACACGUGGAGGUUCCUGGAGGAUGUUGCUCUCAGAGAAGGCAUGGAAACUUUGCACUCCUUUCUGCAUCCUGUACCCUAUGCAUCUCUUCUCUUCAUCUAUAUCCUUCAUAAUAAACUGGGAAACGUGUUUCUCGGAGUUCUGUGAGCAGCUCUGGCAAAUUAAUUGAGCCCAAAGAGGGGGUCAUGGGAAUGGCAACUGGAAGCCAGUUGGUCAGAAGUUCCCGAGGCCUGAACUUGCAACUGGUGUGUGUAUGGGCUGGGGGGGGGGGGGGGUCUUGUGGGACCGAGCCCUCAACCUGUGGGGUCUGAUGGCAUCUUCAGGUAGAUAGUGUCAGAAUUGGAUUGGAGGACACUCAGCCGCUGUCCCCGGCAGAAUUGCUUGCUUGCCUGGUGUGUGGGAAAAAACUCACACUCAUUUGGUCACAGAAGUCUUCUGUGUGGAUUGUUGUUAACACAGUGAGAGCCCAGAAAAAAACACUGUGAAAAAAAAUCCAGUGGAACCAAUUCCUAAUGGAUCAGUCCGCCUUUUUACAUCUGAGAACAGUCUGCAGCUCUGCCCAAAAAUAUAAUGUUUGUGUUCAGGGGAGGGGAGUUCCUCUCAUUACCAUCCUGCUACCUUCUACAGUUAGGACCCUCCAAUGUUGAAGCUCGUGAUUAGUACCUGGGUUUCUUGUUAAGAAGUAGAUAUCUGGGCUCAACCCCCAGGGAAUCUGAUUUAGUAAGUCUGGGUGAGACCCAGGAAUAUGCAUUAUUAGAAGCUUCUAAGAAAUGUUGAUGCAGGUAGUCCUUAGACCAUUUUUUUCCAAACACAGUCUUUGGUUCUCAUCUAAAGGCCUACAUGAUUAAUUAAUCAGUUUCCACCCAAGGACAAUAAGCAAAAAUUACACAAACUCGCAUACACACACAAACAUACACACAUAAUUAAGGAAAGGUUACACUGAUAAAGCCCUAAGGCUAAUUUAAGCAGAAUGCAGGACAUACAUUGGGCAAUCCCAUACUUCUGAGCCCUGUUAACCAAAUGCAGAGCCACACCUUUUGGCUACACAGUGGCCUUGUUCAUCAGCAUAGCACUGGAGCAAGGGUGGAACUCUUCAUCUGCCAACUGCCUCAUUAAACAAGGAUCAGAGGUUCAGAUAAAUUUUUUAAAAAUUAAAAGAUUCUAUGAUUCUUCCAGUGCUUGAAAAGAUCCUAAAUGCCUA
rnacentral:lncRNA from 10 species